GGAAGGGUGGCCGAGUGGUUUAAGGCGUCGGUCCCGAAAACCGAUUGGGGCGAAAGCUCCUCGUGAGUUCGAAUCUCACCCCUUCCGCCA
rnacentral:tRNA from 2 species